rnacentral:lncRNA from 1 species
GUACAUCGGUAUCGGAAUAUGAAGGUUGUAACAUAUCAACUUAGAGACUUAGCUUGAAGGUAAUGAACUAAUGAUAUCCAAUAUUUGUUUGUUCACAAUAUUUUGUGCAUUUUGUCUCACAAAAUAGCUUUCAAAAUCUCGUACAACACACAUGAGAUUAUGUAUGUGCAUGAAGACAAAAGGUUGAUGAUGAAAGAUGUGAAUUUUGAAAGGGUAAAAUGCACAAAAUAUAGUAAACAAGGAAUGGUUGUAGAUGAGUCUUUAAGUUGAUAUGUUAUGCCCCUCAUAUGCAUGAUAUUAUCAUGGACUCCAUUAGCCUCCAAUGAGCUUUUGAAUUGGUAAUUUUUUUCUUUUGUUGAUAAUCUUUUGUAUUAGUAAUUUGGUUCAAGGGAAGGUGACUCUGGUAAUUAAUAAAUUUACUAUGUGGUAAGUUAAAUCUGACUAAAAAUUGUUGCUAUCAAAAAUUAAGCUCGAAUUUUCCUGAACGAUUUAUCCUAAAGAUCGGUCAUCAAUAGCUUUU